UGGACAAUCAAUUGUGUUAGUAAUAAACAAGUCAGUCACUCAUAAACAGGAAAAUAAACAUGUAUUAAUAACACACUUCCAUUAACAUAGUAAGCUAUAAAGACGAUGACAGUGUUUCAAAUAUCGUUCUCUGCUAUAUUUAAAGACAAUGUCAAUGUUAAAUAACAUAGUGGGAUACCGGGCUUAUAUUCAGGGAGCUAAUAUUCAGGAGACUAAUAUUCAGGGGGGCUUAUAUUUGGGGGGGGCUUAUAUUUGGAAUGAAGUGAGCAUUAUAUUCAGAGGUUUACAGUAUACAGUUGAAAAAAGCUUGUAUUUUCUUGUCAUAGACACACAUUUCUGGGUGCAUAUAGAACAGCUUAAACGUCAGGUUCUCAUGUCGAUCCAAUGGUAAUUUGAUAUCGCUGCCAUCACCAUAAUAUAGUGUAGCACAGAAUGGCCUUGUAUGUAUCAUACUUUGACAUACUAUCAUGCAUGCAGAAAUGCCUUGGUCAUUCAUGUGGAGAUAUUACUAUCACGAUAGAAUUAGUUACGCCAAGUAACAUGUCGUACACGUCAGGUAGCAGCUGAAAUAUUUUAAUAUUUGCCAUAAUAUGCCCAUAACCUGUUGGCAAAACAACCAAAACAUCUUCAUCCAGUCAUCCUUUUACAAUGGGCCAAUGGCCGAGAUACAUUUGAAUGUCUCGUCUUUUAACGAAUAUUCAAGCCCUCUUCGCUAGAACAGCUUUCAUAGCUCUUUUAGUAUUUGCCAUUGAAUAUAAUUUAAUAGUAGUACGAUUUAAAGCACCUUUAAACGUAUAAAAAAACAUUUUGUACACUAUAUUCUGAUGAGAAUCUUUGUUUAAAACAAUAUCGAUUGUGAGCGUGUGCCCGCGCGAAUUUAGUAAGCGGAAUGAACAAAAGCAAUAAAUGCGCAUGCGCCAUUUAUCUCAUUUUGGAUAAAAAAAUUCGAUUUCCCCAGAGUCAUGCC
rnacentral:lncRNA from 1 species